rnacentral:rRNA from 1 species
AUGCGAAUCGGAGACUGCAAGGGGACUCGACUUCCGCCGUCUGCUCCGCCACGCCCCAAAAGCCUCGCCGGCACGAGCGAACAGGCUCCGCUGCUUGCCGUCGGAGGCGUAGUAGCGGUACGUGCGGGCGCCGAGCAAGAAGACGGCGAGUGCGCAGAGCAUCACGACGCAGGGGAUGCCGAAGCCGAGGCCCCAGCCGAUGUUGUCCUGGAUGUAGCUGAGGAACACGAGCGUGACGGCGGUGCCGGCGCAUAUGCCGAAGUACCACCAGUUGAAGAAGGAGCUCCGGGAGACGGCCUCCCGCGGGUGGCUCGCGUCGAACUGGUCGGCGCCGAAGGCCUGGACGCACGGCUUGUGCCCGCCCUGCGCCAGGGCCACCAGGUAGAGGGAGGUGUAGAACGCGGCCAUCUGCAGACCGGACGGCGGCGGGCAGGGCGUGCCGCCGUCGGUGUUACUGCAUUUGUGAUUGCCGGGGGAGAGCAAUGUCGAGAGAGCCAGCAUUCCUAA